CACCCGUUCCCAUCCCGAACACGGAAGUUAAGCUCUUCAGCGCCGAUGGUACUGCUUGGGAAGCUAAGUGGGAGAGUAGGACGCCGCCGAAA
rnacentral:rRNA from 1 species